GACGAACGCUGGCGGCGUGCUUAACACAUGCAAGUCGAACGGAAAGGCCCUGCUUUUGUGGGGUGCUCGAGUGGCGAACGGGUGAGUAACACGUGAGUAACCUGCCCUUGACUUUGGGAUAACUUCAGGAAACUGGGGCUAAUACCGGAUAGGAGCUCCUGCUGCAUGGUGGGGGUUGGAAAGUUUCGGCGGUUGGGGAUGGACUCGCGGCUUAUCAGCUUGUUGGUGGGGUAGUGGCUUACCAAGGCUUUGACGGGUAGCCGGCCUGAGAGGGUGACCGGCCACAUUGGGACUGAGAUACGGCCCAGACUCCUACGGGAGGCAGCAGUGGGGAAUAUUGCAAAUGGGCGGAAGCCUGAUGCAGCAACGCCGCGUGCGGGAUGACGGCCUUCGGGUUGUAAACCGCUUUCGCCUGUGACGAAGCGUGAGUGACGGUAAUGGGUAAAGAAGCACCGGCUAACUACG
rnacentral:rRNA from 1 species